UGGUCUCGGCUGCAGAAGCGAGAUGACGAAGGGAACGUCAUCGUUUGGAAAGCGUCGCAAUAAGACGCACACAUUGUGCCGCCGCUGUGGCUCUAAGGCCUACCACCUUCAGAAGUCGACCUGCGGCAAAUGUGGCUACCCUUCCAAGCGCAAGAGAAAGUAUAACUGGAGUGCCAAGGCUAGAAGACGAAAUACCACCGGAACUGGUCGAAUGAGGCACCUAAAAAUGGUAUACCACAGAUUCAGGCAUGGAUAA